rnacentral:rRNA from 1 species
UACGGAGGGUGCAAGCGUUAAUCGGAAUUACUGGGCGUAAAGCGUGCGCAGGCGGUUGUGUAAGUCAGAUGUGAAAUCCCCGGGCUCAACCUGGGAAUUGCAUUUGAGACUGCACGGCUAGAGUGUGUCGGAGGGGGGUAGAAUUCCACGUGUAGCAGUGAAAUGCGUAGAGAUGUGGAGGAAUACCGAUGGCGAAGGCAGCCCCCUGGGAUAACACUGACGCUCAUGCACGAAAGCGUGGGGAGCAAACAGG